UGAACGCUGGCGGCGUGCCUAAUACAUGCAAGUCGAGCGAACAGACGCGGAGCUUGCUCCUCUGACGUUAGCGGCGGACGGGUGAGUAACACGUGGAUAACCUACCUAUAAGACUGGGAUAACUUCGGGAAACCGGAGCUAAUACCGGAUAAUAUAUUGAACCGCAUGGUUCAAUAGUGAAAGACGGUUUUGCUGUCACUUAUAGAUGGAUCCGCGCCGCAUUAGCUAGUUGGUAAGGUAACGGCUUACCAAGGCGACGAUGCGUAGCCGACCUGAGAGGUGAUCGGCCACACUGGAACUGAGACACGGUCCAGACUCCUACGGGAGGCAGCAGUAGGGAAUCUUCCGCAAUGGGCGAAAGCCUGACGGAGCAACGCCGCGUGAGUGAUGAAGGUCUUCGGAUCGUAAAACUCUGUUAUUAGGGAAGAACAAAUGUGUAAGUAACUAUGCACGUCUUGACGGUACCUAAUCAGAAAGCCACGGCUAACUACGUG
rnacentral:rRNA from 1 species